CUUGCAAGCCAAUAUUAUAGAUCAAAAACCUCAAAUCCUCACCUUCCUCUCCUGCAUAAACCGAACCCUAGCUCAUCACCCUAACCUCAUCAUUUCUUCAACCAAAUUCAAUAACCAUGGAGGCAAAUUGAUCCUACGACAAAAAGGGAAACAAGGUUAUGAAUCAUUGAUUUGGAGAUUGAAUUAUGAAGUUUUGAUGGAGAUUCUUGGAAGGGAGUGGUUCGGCCAUAAGCAAACUCAUCAUAUUCAAGACCCGGCGAGACGAUUACUAACGGGACUCGGAACGUGACGAACGCGAUACCGUUUUACGAAUUCUCGAAGAUUUUGGUUAGCAAGUGUGUUUUAUUUCAGGUGAUAGUACUUUGAAGAGAUGGACUUCCAUUUUUGUUCCGGAAGUCUGCAACAUAUAAAGUAUGUAUUGAAGUACGCUUCAAUUCGUAGCGCUGCAGUAGUCAGUAGAUGUCAGUCUAUAUUUGUUGUUUGUACCGAACGAGAUUUAGCUAUUAACUCUGAUUUUAUAAAAUAUAUAUACACGAUUUAUAAAACUAUGUUUUUACCCGUUUGAUAUUUUCACCAAUUGUCUAUGAAUGAAAUUGGUAUGAAAUUGUAUGAUUCGGAACAAGGCAAUGCUGAGUUAUGUUAUCGCAGAGUAAGACCUUAGUUCCAAUCGAUUAUGCAUCGGUUUUGAAAGAACGUU